AUCCGCGAGAAAGAUCCGCCCAUAAUGUCUCCGGUCUGCUCUGCUGCUCCCUCCGAGCUCGGUUGCAAGCUGUGCUUCUUUUUUUUAUUAUUGUGUUUAGAUUCAAGAUUAAAAUGUAAAUUACGAAAGGUAUAUAAGCUUCAAUUAUCAGUGGACCGAUACCGUAACUCUAGGAAUGCUUUGUAGAGAUGGAUGGCGAAGUAAACAAUGAAAGAUUUCUCCCAACAUGCACACAUCAACAAAAGCUUGAGGCCUUGUUUUAAUGUAUUAUAAUGGAUGACACUCCAGGACAUGUGAUUCAUGCAUGGUUCUUAUGGCUGUUACUCCUUAUUUCUUUGAGUAAAGGAAUACGAGUGGUGGAUGGUCCCAUUACUGGAGUGGUAGGGAGCCCAGUCAUCAUUAACUGUCUACUGCUUGAUACAAAUGAAGAAAUUAGGCAGAUAACGUGGCAAAAAGAGAUCAACAGAGAAUACAAAAACUUUUAUAUAUUUACACCUCCUGAUCGUGAACGGAUACUGCUUGACUUUGGCAAGAAGUUUAAACGUAUUGGGAAUAAAUUUAACAACGCCUCUCUACUACUUUCUGAUCCAGACUUAUCCGAUGAAGGGAAUUAUAAAUGCAUUUUUACCAUUUUUCCAAGUGGCCCAUUUGAAAGAGUUAUACAAGUCACAAUAUUUGUUCGUCCAUCUGUCACUGUAACUGUAGACACAGAUGCCAACACUGAAGGAUGUGAAAGCAAUGUUGCUAUUUGCACUGCAGCAAAUGGCAAACCAGAACCUCUUGUCUCUUGGAGUGAUGCUCCAUCUGCAUCCAAAAGUACAGAAAAUACAACAUCUCAAAUAAAUGGGACAUUUACAGUUCGGUCUGUCCUGCGGACAGUGGCUACAAGGAAAAUUAAUGACCACGAAGUGUUUUGUGUUGUGAAGCAGCCUUUGAUCGAUACCAACAUUUCAGUGCCAUUUAGGCUGAAUGUAACUUAUGCUCCAGUUGUUAAAGUACUCAUUGUGGAUCAAAAACCAAAUGAGGUUAUAGCUGACUGUGAAGCAGAUGCUAACCCCCCAGCUUCUCAUUAUACAUGGAGAAAGGAUAAUGAGAGGAUUCUUGAAACUACAAAUAUACAGACAGAAGGAAGUAGGAUGAUUAUUAAAGAGCCAACACCCAGCAUAAAUGGAUUUUACUUCUGUGAAGCUGUAAAUUCAAAAGGCUCUGGAGUUGCCUCACUAUAUUUUUAUUUCACUUCAAGAUCAUACAGUGGUAUGCUUGCUUCUGGAAUUAUAUUGUUGAUGCUUGCCAUGACGACAGUUUUUGCCUUAGCCUGGUAUAAAAUAAAACAAAGGUCUGAAAGUAUUCCAGUUUCUGGCUCACCCUCUGAAACUGUCCAGAUGCAACAAAAUGAUGCUGAUGAGUCUGGUAUGUCAAAUGAAGGCAGGGGGGAAGAUGAAGAAAGUUAAAUUAAUUUACAAUACUAAACUAUAUACAGUCUGAAGUGAGAAACCCAUGAAACAGGCGUGAAACCUCACAUAUAUGAGCUGAAAUUUCACAAAGCAAAACAAAAAAAAAAGGAAGAAAAUGUCAAUUCCAAAAUUAUGCUGAUGUGCCUCUUAUGUUGAGGAACCAUAACCAGUCAAAGGUGGAACAAGGCAGUUGACACCACUGGCUAAGACUGGGGAAAGGAAAUGCUUUGAAUCCUGGUGUUCAGAAAAGCUAAAGAUUGCAGCAGAGAGUCGAAGACAGCAAGAAUUUCCAGAGAAUAUGAUCUUGGACAACCCUAGAACUUUUAGUUGCUUAUUGUGGCUUUAUUUGACUUUAUUUAAUGAUGUCUAUAUAAACAAUUCUAUUUUAGCUCAAAGUAAUUUUCCUGUUUUUCUCACAAGUGGAAACCCUUGUUAUGGCAAUAGAGUCAUGUACCUAUAUGGAUUAGUAGUUGAUAGAGAAUAUGGUUUUAGUGCUCAGUCAAUUCUUUAGGUGGUGUACACAUCUUUUGAAACUAGUUUAGGAGCUUAGCCACGACACAAUAUCCAUCCACCUAAUUUUGAACCCUGUUUACUAGUGUGGGUAUUGAGCCAGUGAACCUGAAGAUGUAAUGCAGCACAGUUAACGAGUAUGCUUUUAAUGUUUCUUUAGUUAUUUAUUACAAAAGCUAUAGUGCUCUUAUUAGAAAAUUCAUUAACAUUUUUAUGUAUUUUUAAGGACUUGGUAAGCAAGUACAGAUGGAUGUCUAAGGGUAUUUUUCUCUUAUGCAAUACUCAUUGCUAGUGUUCAUUAAUUUAUGUGAUGCUUACUUGUAUAUAAGUGAAGAAGAAAACCUGAUUUUGAGGUGUCAAUUAAAGUUUGCCGUAACUCUGAAUUUUUGUGAGACAGGGUUAUUCAUCUGGAUCAAAUUGUAAAAGUCUUCACAGUUGUUUAUGGAAUUGCUUGAUUGGUCUAACAAGCAUGAUAACUUUUGUAAUUAUGAUGAGAAUGACUGCAGAGUUUUCUAUCCAUCCAUAUCUUCAUUUUCAAAUCCACUUUGUUCAAUCCAGGGUUGCUGGAUAGUCUCAGCAGGAGCUAACUGUAGAUAGGGUCUUUGUGUGUGGGUGUGCGUGUGUUUGUGUGUGUAUAUGUAUAACAAUCGCCUUGUUUUGUGGAAAACUCCAUGUUUUUAUAUAAAUAUAUAAAGUUUCUGCUGUAAAGAUGAGCAAGGAAAUCACUGAAUAUUAUUGACUGUGAAAAAGCAGUUUAGUUAUAGUUUUUAUUUAUUUUAUGUUUGUAUAUUUAAGUGUAGUGUAUAUUUGUUCAUUCGAUCAUCUUCAAAAAUACAAAUCUCAGUCAGCUUUUGGGAUUGGAAUUGUCAGGCUAUUGAUGUAGAUAUCAUCAGGUUCACGUGGAUGAUCCUCAACCUAAAAAAAUUACAAAAGUAUCACAAAACACUACAGAGCUAUAAAGUGGUCAUCAAAAACACAUUUAAAAACAUAAAAUACAACACUAAAAAUAAAAUAUAUAUGGUGGGCAUGGUUUUAAGUAAUUAAUUUAUAUAUUUUAAGUUGGUAUUGAAAAUAAUCACCCCAUCUGAAUAUACAGUAUUCACAUUUUGUUCCUUAACAGCUUAAAAUGAAAACACACACAAAAAUAUUUUUUUCAGAUUCAUUUACUUGAUGCAACUUAAAAUGUCCAAUGUGAAUAUUUUCGAAGGGUGUGAUUAUUUUUUAAAUCCACUGUAUAUUUUUUGCCCUAAUGACAAGGAAUUUCUGGGAGAAAAGAAAUGUCAGGGUGAUGCAGGAUAUUAGCUUGUUAGUAUGUGCAUAGAUAGGAGCAUCCAAGGGACAGAAAUAGCUCUAAUUAUAGAUGGGUAAUUCUGAAUUUUAAUUAUCCGAGUACAAGGUGGAUGGCCAUGCAGAAUUAACAGCUUUUGAUCUGAAGCAGUAGGAAUGCUACAGAGAGUCUCAUGGUGGGGCUCUGGAUCCCUUCAGUUAAAGCAAAUGUACCCUAAUAACCAUGAAAAGCACCUGCUCCCUUCUUAUCUGUCAGAGUUGGUGAUAUGGGUUGCAUUGGCACUUUGGAGGCUUUUGAGCCUCCACACUAAGUCUAAACUCUGUAAGUAGAGUAUAGAGUCAGCUGGCAGACAGGCAAGAUACACCACAGGACUGGAGAGAGAUAGGGAGAGAAUGUGAGCCAGACUACUUAUUCAUGAUGUUUAAUAGGUGGUAGAGUGGAUGUGUCUAGUGGUGCAGACAGGCUGGCUUUUGGUACUGAUGGUGUAUGUCAACUCCUUUCUCCUUGUAUUUGUCUUUCUGCUUUACGUAACAUUAUCAGAAGCAGCAGACUGUUUUGUGUUUUAAUUGUUACUUUGUACUUUCUGAUGAUUUUCUCUUCCUUGUAAUUAUUACUUUCUUAAUGUAACACUUAUUUUAGAGACAGUUUGGCUUCCAUGGUGUCAAUUUGCAAGGCUAUAAGCCCAAUUUUCUUGUAGGGCUGAAGCAAAAGAAGACUUUAUCCUAAAAGUUCUUCUGUGAAGGAUUACUUUGUUUUAAAAAGCAUGUUUGGAUGCAUCUCAGAGCCACUUACCUGCUGGUUACUUACUGCUUUGUCAUUCUCAUUUUGCUUUUUGCAACUGUGAAUAAAGAGAAUCAGAGUAUCAAUAGUUUACUAACCAAAAUGAGUUUCAAAGCACUAUGGUAGUGUCUGGAAGGAAUUAUUAAAAUAUAAAAUGCUGCAUUAGAGUGUCAUUUAGACAGUAAUUUUUAUUUAAUGUAAGUUAAAUCUACUGUUGCAAAGCUUUUUUCAGUCACAACCUGAGUCAAAUAUCUCAAAAUAAAUUAUCACUAUCUAGUUUACCACUUUAUUUAAAUACUGAAAAUAGUACUGAAUGUUUUAACUUGAAGUCUCUUGUGUCUUGCCUUCUUUGUUUACAUUAGUCCAUGUAAAACAGAGAAAUGUACCAAAUUAAAAUACCCUUCUUUUUAUUU